CAAUAGCGUAUAUUAAAGUUGUUGCAGUUAAAAAGCUCGUAGUUGGAUUUCCGGCGUGAGGGAUCAGUCUGACUUCUAGUCAGUACUUGGUCCUCUCAUGCCGUCCUUGAAUGGUGCAUCCUGGCAUUAAGUUGUCGGGGUGAGAGCCGUUCAUCGUUUACUGUGAGAAAAUUAGAGUGUUCAAAGCAGGCUUAUGCCGUUGAAUAUAUUAGCAUGGAAUAAUAAGAUAGGACUUUGAGUCUAUUUUGUUGGUUUGUCGAGUCAAAGUAAAUGAUUAAUAGGGACAGUUGGGGGUAGUUCGUAUUUCAUUGUCAGAGGUGAAAUUACUUGGAUUUC
rnacentral:rRNA from 1 species